rnacentral:rRNA from 1 species
UACGAAGGGGGGCGAGCGUUGUUCGGAAUUACUGGGCGUAAAGGGCGCGUAGGCGGCGAACCAAGUCAGAUGUGAAAGUCCUGGGCUUAACCUGGGGGACUGCAUUUGAUACUGGUUUGCUUGAAUUCGGGAGAGGAUAGCGGAAUUCCCAGUGUAGAGGUGAAAUUCGUAGAUAUUGGGAAGAACACCGGUGGCGAAGGCGGCUAUCUGGACCGACAUUGACGCUGAGGCGCGAAAGCGUGGGGAGCAAACAGG